rnacentral:tmRNA from 1 species
GGGGAUGAUUUGAUUCGACGGGAAGUGUUCUUUAAAAACUGCAAGCCGACUUUGAUAGUAGUCGUAAAACAAAUCAAAAAAUACAUGCUAGGAAUAAACUCUCUAGCGCUCUCGCAUCCAUCGCGAACACAAUUCGUGAAGGAGCGCAAACUCUCGCUAUGCCCCGCAUAGCUCCAGCGUUUGCCUAAACAGCGAAGCUGCUUACCAUGUCUUUUCUCAACGAGAUAGGUAAGUAAAAACAAAGUUGAGAGAAAAAACGGAAUGGUUUUGACCGCAAUACAAACCUGGUUUUACUGUUCCUGUUGAUUGGAGAAAGUAAAACGAGACAAAAAGAAUCAACUACGCUUGUAGAUGUUUUUAGAAAUAUUUUUCGGACUCCGGAUCACAUCCGGACAUCUCCACCG